rnacentral:rRNA from 1 species
UACGUAGGUGGCAAGCGUUGUCCGGAUUUAUUGGGCUUAAAGGGUGCGUAGGCGGUUUCCUAAGUCAGUUGUGAAAUACGGCAGCUUAACUGUCGAGGUGCAAUUGAUACUGGGAAACUUGAGUACUGAUGAGGUAUGCGGAAUGGACGGUGUAGCGGUGAAAUGCUUAGAUAUCGUCCAGAACACCGAUAGCGAAGGCAGCAUACUAAGGAGUAACUGACGCUGAGGCACGAAAGUGUGGGGAUCAAACAGG